rnacentral:rRNA from 1 species
GAUGAACGCUAGCUACAGGCUUAACACAUGCAAGUCGAGGGGCAGCAUUAUCGAAGCUUGCUUUGAUAGAUGGCGACCGGCGCACGGGUGAGUAACGCGUAUCCAACCUUCCCCAUAGUCAGGAAUAGCCCGGCGAAAGUCGAAUUAAUGCCUGAUGUUUUCCACGGACGGCAUCUGAUGUGGAACAAAGAUUGAUCGCUAUGGGAUGGGGAUGCGUCUGAUUAGCUUGUUGGCGGGGUAACGGCCCACCAAGGCAACGAUCAGUAGGGGUUCUGAGAGGAAGGUCCCCCCACAUUGGGACUGAGACACGGUCCAAACUCCUACGGGAGGCAGCAGUGAGGAAUAUUGGUCAAUGGGCGAGAGCCUGAACCAGCCAAGUAGCGUGCAGGACGACGGCCCUAUGGGUUGUAAACUGCUUUUAUAAGGGAAUAAAGUGGGUCACGUGUGACUUUUUGCAUGUACCUUAUGAAUAAGGACCGGCUAAUUCCGUGCCAGCA